ACCCCAAUUGUUAUACCCAUUUCCCAAAUUCAAUUCCUAAUCUCACUUUACUCGUACAGAACCCAACAAACAUACAUUUCCCUUACACCUCAUACAUAUACAAUAUUCUUUUCCACCGACCCAAUUUGCCAAUUACAUAUAACAACAUUCACUACAACAGCAUACCCAAUUCACGAUACAGUACACUACGCGUACACACAUGCCCAAAGACAAACACAGCAAGCUUUUCCUACAAAAUCCCUCAAAAUCCGUAAGAUUUGAAGUUCAUCCAUCUCCCUCAAGUCAAUUUGAGAGCAGUUCUUAUUUUUUUUGCACUCUAAAUUGAUGUCGAUCAUCCUCGAGCUCGUUGUUCCGAUUCGCUGUCCAGAACCAGGUAGUCUUCCAUCUCUUCCUUAUUAUUUUUUUUAGCUUUCAAUUAGUUUGUAAAUUUGUUUUAUGGCUAUGCUUAAGAUUUUUAGCUUUAUGCAUUUUUCCUCUUUUGGUUAGAUUAGAUUAGCUUGUCUGUUUAAAUUUGUUCCAUUUCUACAAAAAUCAUGUUGAAAUUUUCGAUAUGGGUUAUAUUAUAUUUUCUCUCAUUUUGCUUGUCUUAAGCAUCUUCUAUUAGUUUCUAUUUUUUUUGUGGUGAGUGUGAUCAUAAGAGGUUAAAAUCCUCAGCUAUUUGAUUUCAGUUGUAGUGUCUUGUUAAUGGUGACCAGUACUUUGCUUGGAAAUUAGUUGAAUAAUCCUUUUACAGUUUAAGUUUAAGCUAUCUGAAUAAUUAGCAAUAUUUUCAGGCUUCUCCUGUUUCUUUCCAAGUGUUUAAUUUUCUCUUAUAAACAAAACUCUAAUAACAACAACAACAACAACAACAACAACCCAGUGAAAUCCCACAUCGUGGGGUCUGGGGAGGGUAGAGUGUACGCAGACCUGACUCCUACCAAUGUAGGACGGCUGUUUCCGAAAGACCCUCGGCUCAAAAAAAGCAUAGAAAAAGGUCAGACAGGAAUAUUAGAGUAAAUAAGUAGAUAAGUAGAUGACGAAAACGGUCCAAACAAUAGUAUAAUCAAAGCACAAAAAACAGUAGAUAUUAUUACUGGAUAAUAACAUAAAUACCAUAAAUAACAUACAUCAGAGUACAAGAAAUCAUAGUGCGUUAAUACGCCUACGAAUGAGGGAGAAUAAAAUCACUAUGUACUAGACUUCUACCCUAAUUUGUGUCCUCCACACCCUCCUAUCUAGGGUCAUGUCCUCGGUAAGUCGUAAAUGCGUCAUGUCCUGUCUGAUCACCUCUCCCCAAUAUUUCUUUGGCCUACCCCUACCUCUUCUGAAACCAUCCAUGACCAGCCUCUCGCAUCUCCGCACUGGUGCAUCUGGGACUCUCCUCUUCACAUGUCCAAACCAUCUCAGUCGCGUUUCCCGCAUCUUGUCCUCCACCGAGGCCACUCCUACCUUUUCUCGAAUAGCCUCAUUUCUAAUCUAGUCACUCUUGGUAUGCCCACACAUCCAUCUCAACAUUCUCAUCUCGGCAACCUUCAUCUUUUGCACGUGGGAGACCUUAACUGGCCAACACUCCGCCCCAUAUAACAUAGCUGGUCUAACGACCACUUUGUAGAACUUGCCCUUAAGUUGUGGUGGCACCUUCUUGUCACAUAACACACCGGAGGCGAGCCUCCAUUUCAUCUAUCCUGCCCCAAUACGGUGUGUGACAUCCUCGUCGAUCUCUCCGCUGUCUUGCAUGAUAGAAUCAAGGUACUUAAAACUACUUCUCUUUUGGAUGGCUUGUUCCCCGAGCCUAACUUCCGCGCCAACCUCUUGAGGUGUCUCACUGAACUUGCACUCUAGGUACUCUGUCUUGGUCCUACUCAGCUUAAACCCCUUAGACUCCAAGGUGCGUCUCCAAUCUUCCAGCUUAGCGUUAACUCCGCUACGAGUCUCAUCGAUGAGGACUAUGUCGUCCGCAAAAAGCAUACACCAUGGCACCUCACCUUGAAUUUGUCGCGUCAAUCCAUCCAUCACCAAGGCAAAUAUUUUGUAACUCUUUUCUAUUCAUUAGCUUGAGUUUUUUGAAUAUUGACUCAACUUAAGAAUAUGUUUACUUUUCCUUUUCUGCACAAAAGGCCAAAACUUGUGAUCUUAGAUUUAAUUAUGUAGAAAUCAUUUGUUUGAAGUGUUUUCUAGUUCACUGUUUGCACAUUAAGGUCAUAUAAUGGUUUCUCUCUUCUUUUCUUUUUCAAUGAUAUAUAAGGUCCUCAUGCAGCUUAAAAUUUGAAAGUUGAAUCUGUUUCUAUGACAUUAGUGUGUCAUCAGAAUCUUUGUGAUUAAUAUAUUAUACUCCUUUCACUAGUUAUUACUAAUCAUUCUAUUUCCCUGGUUUAUAAGCAUUAGCGUGUCAAAACAUCUCCUCGAGAAAAUAAUUUAUGUAACACUACAACAACAACAACAACAACAACCCAGUGAAAUCCCACAACAUGGGGUCUGGGGAGGGUAGAAUGUACGCAGACCUUACUCCUACCAAGGUAGGACGGCUGUUUCCUGGAGACCCUCGGCUCAGUAAAAGCAUAAAUGCAUAAAAAAUGUUAGAUAAGAAUAGAAAAUUAAAAGCUUUAUGAGAAAAACAACAAACAAAUAACAAAUAGAUAACAAAUAAAUACAAAUAAAUAAAGACUAAUAACAAAUAACGAUUAAAUAAAUAAUGAAAGCGUCACAGGUAAAAUUGAGUAAUCAAAGCAUAGAAAGUAAUAAAUAAUAACAGAAAUAACAGAAAUCAGAAGUCAAAGCGCAAGAGAUCGUAAUGCACUACUACACCUAUGAAUAGAGAAGAAUAACGAGACUAUGAACUAGACUUCUACCCUAAUGUGGGUCCUCCACACCCUCCUAUCUAAGGUCAUGUCCUCCGUAAGCUGUAACUGCGCUUUGACUGUGAGUCAUAUAUUACCGGUAGACUUCUACCCUAAUUUAUGUAACACUGUGAGUCAUAUAUUACCGGUAGGAUCGGUGAUUUUUCUUCAUGGCUUUAAUUUAUUAUAUGUUGUAUAAAGUUCGAUGCUUUAGCUCUUUAUGGACAAGUUGGUAUUAAAUUAGUUAACAGGGAAUGGAUUACUAUUGGAAUAUCAAAUGGUUGACCAAUUUGCUGCAUUUAGUUUGUUUUAUUCCUGCUGCUUGUUUCCGAUCAAAAUGGAUAUAGACGGGUCAUAUAGUCGUUUAUUUUAAAUGUGUAACCUGUUGAAAUCUGUCCUGUAGUUGCAUUUGAGGGUUCAUGUUAAUGUAAUGUUACUGCUUGUCUUCUAAAAUAAGCCUUUCGUAGCUUCUGUCUUGUUUGGUCUAGAAAUGAUCCUCGAGCUUUAAUUUCUUAGCGUAUUAGACUGAUGUUAUUUGGUUUGAGUUCACCCUUUUUUUUUUUUACCUAUAGUCAAUGAAUUUGAGUUCAUUUAAAUUUUGAACUUGAUAAUGCUUCAAUUUUUCUCUUCAUUGUUCUGUUCAGUGGAGUUGUUCGGCUUCUUUUCUCUAUUGUAUUCACAGUCUGUUGUAGCAAUUUCUAUCAGUUUAUAAUAGCCACUGCUUACUGCUGGAAAGUUUAGAUAUGAUUCUUGUUUGAUCUGUGAGUUCCUAUUACAAAAAGAUCAUGUUUAUUCUCACUUACUAUGUGCUAAAAUACUUCAAAAUGAUUAAGUCUCUGUUUUGCUUGAGCAUUAAGCAUUGGGUUUGUAAUAAUGAGUUUAAUCCAUUUUCUCCUUACUUUGGGGUAGAUUUGACUUACAUUACCUAAAUGAUGUUUGUGUGCUGAAUUAAUGCCAGUUACUUUUUUGAUUACUUAUUAAUCCUUAUCUUUUCUUUCUAUUGCGUGAACUAUCUCGUUUGAGUCCAUUUGGACUCCCCAUCUCUUGCAUACUCUUUUUCUUGAGUCAACUUCUACCGAACCGUUUGAAAGGGAAGCUAAUAUCAUCUGGAUAAAGCCCAAAGCGGUAGUGAGCAGCAGCAGCCAAAAGAGGCUAAAAGGAAGUUGGACUCUUAAGAGUUCGAGAAUAACUCUACAACAGCAGGGACAGAAAUUCUGGACCCAAAGUCCAGAUUCUUUUGAAUUGAAUUUUUCCAUAUCUUAUGUGUUAUUAUAUGUUAUAUUAUUUGUUGAUUACUAACUUUGUUAACUUAGAUGAAUCCUCAACGUUUUGGGUUUUAAAUGGUUAUUUCACUUUUUCAUUUA